AUUGAACGCUGGCGGCAGGCUUAACACAUGCAAGUCGAACGAGUGGCGGACGGGUGAGUAAUGCUUGGGAAUAUGGCUUAUGGCCGGGGAUAACGACGGGAAAAUGUCGCUAAUACCGAGUACCAUAGGAAGAGCCCAAGUGGGAUUAGGUAGUUGGUGGGGUAAUGGCCUACCAAGCCGACGAUCUCUAGCUGGUCUGAGAGGAUGACCAGCCAACCCGGGACUGAGACACGGCCCGGACUCCUACGGGAGGUAGCAGUGGGGAAUAUUGCGCAAUGGGGGCAACCUGACGCAGCCAUGCCGCGUGAAUGAAGAAGGCCUUCGGGUUGUAAAGUUCUUUCGGGGAAGAGGCGUUAAUCACAGAAGAAGCACCGGCUAACUACGUGCCAGCAGCCGCGGUAAUAC
rnacentral:rRNA from 1 species